GCCCCGGUGGCCUAAUGGAUAAGGCAGCGGAUUCCGGUUCCGCCGAUAUGGGUUCGAUUCCUGUCCGGGGCGCCA
rnacentral:tRNA from 1 species